AAAGACAGCGAAGUCGUGAGGCGGAGCAAAUCUCGAAAACCGGUACCCAGUUCGGACUGCAGGCUGCAACUCGCCUGCACGAAGCCGGAGUUGCUAGUAAUCGCGCAUCAGCCAUGGCGCGGUGAAUACGUUCCCGGGCCUUGUACACACCGCCCGUCAAGCCAUGGGAGCCGGGGGUGCUUGAAGUGCGUCGCCGCAAGGCGCGCCCUAGAGCAAAACCGGUGACUGGGGCUAAGUCGUAACAAGGUAGC
rnacentral:rRNA from 1 species